AACGAACGCUGGCGGCAUGCCUAACACAUGCAAGUCGAACGAGACCUUCGGGUCUAGUGGCGCACGGGUGCGUAACGCGUGGGAAUCUGCCCUUGGGUUCGGAAUAACAGUUGGAAACGACUGCUAAUACCGGAUGAUGACGUAAGUCCAAAGAUUUAUCGCCCAAGGAUGGGCCCGCGUAGGAUUAGCUAGUUGGUGAGGUAAAGGCUCACCAAGGCGACGAUCCUUAGCUGGUCUGAGAGGAUGAUCAGCCACACUGGGACUGAGACACGGCCCAGACUCCUACGGGAGGCGGCAGUGGGGAAUAUUGGAAAAUGGGCGAAAGCCUGAUCCAGCAAUGCCGCGUGAGUGAUGAAGGCCUUAGGGUUGUAAAGCUCUUUUACCCGGGAUGAUAAUGACAGUACCGGGAGAAUAAGCUCCGGCUAACUCCGUG
rnacentral:rRNA from 1 species